ACUGGUUCAUCUCUGAGGUCCUUUCUAGCCCAAAUCCUGUGGUCUCUGACCUCCGAGAGGUAGGCAGCAGAGGCCUUAAUAGCCCGGUUUUUCAGACAAGGGAGCAGACAGGCCAGUGACUCUCCCCACGUCCCACAGGCAGUACCCAGGAUCAAAAGUCCCUGUCCCUUUACAGUCAAACCUCUGGUCCAUUGCUCUCUCUUUGGGCCAAGACAGGAGCCCAACACAGCAGCAUCAGUGCCCAGGACGACGUGCCCCCAAGCACAUAACUCCUGGGUUUUUCCUAGCCAAGAUCAGAAGCCAAAAGUGGGGGUGGGCAGAAGCAGAGGCUGUCCCUCCAGCCAUGACCUGCUGACCCCUUCUUUCUGAUUUCUUCAUGCUGGUUCAACAUUAACCCGGAGGGGCCAGAUCGGCCAGCCUGUGAUCCCUACGUCCACAGCUUCUCCACGGGCACCAUGAUGGGUGUUCAGGGCCUGACCCUACAAAGCUACCUGACCCUAGGAGUCUUGGUAUCUCUUGCUCACUGUGAACAUGUGUUCCUAGACCAGCAGCAGGCACUGUCUGUGCUCCAGAGGGUCCGGCGGGCCAACAGGGGCCUCCUGGAGGAAAUGCGAGCAGGAAACCUAGAGCGGGAGUGUCUGGAGGAACAGUGCAGCUAUGAAGAGGCCUUCGAGGCUUUGGAAUCCACGGCAGCCACGGAUGCAUUCUGGACCAAGUACAAAUUUUGUGAAUCUGUGAGGACAACCUCAAGAGUUAUCUUUGAUGCCUGCCUAGAAGGAAAUUGUUCAGAGGGCAUCGGGUUCAAUUACCGGGGGAACAUCUCCAUCACCAAGUCUGGGAUCCCGUGCCAGCUCUGGAGGAGUCGCUACCCGCACAAGCCAGACCUCAACUCCACCACGCACCCUGACGCUGACCUCCGGGAAAAUUUCUGCCGAAACCCAGAUGGCAGUUCUACCGGACCCUGGUGCUACACCAGUGACCCUACCCUGCGGAGAGAGGAGUGCAGUAUCCCCAUCUGUGGAAAGGACAACAGCUUCACUGUGCCUCUGACCCCAAGAAGCCCCAACCUGUUGGCAGAAAGGAGCUCACAGCCUUGCAUCCCCGAUGUGGGACAGAAGUACCAAGGACACCUUGCUGUCAGUGCGUCUGGGGCCCCCUGCCUGCCCUGGGCCUCUGAGCAGCUGAAGUCGCUUCUCAAGGACAACAGUUUCGACCCUGCUGUGUCCCUGGAUAAGAACUAUUGCCGAAAUCCGGAUGGUGAUGAGGAGGGCCUCUGGUGCUUUGUGGCUGGGAACCCCAUUGGUCCAGAAUACUGCCAGGCCAGCUACUGCGACAGCCCCAUGGAUGAGGUGGAUGGAGACUUGGAGCCGGAGUCCGAGACCAUCGGGGGCCGGACCACAGUUCAGGAGUACCAAGUGUUCUUUAACGAGAACACCUUUGGUGCCGGAGAAGCAGGCUGCGGGCUUCGGCCCCUGUUUGAGAAGAAGGGGCUGGAGGACAACACUGAGAAGGAGCUGAUGGAGUCUUACAUUGGCGGGCGCAUCGUGCAUGGGGACGAUGCUGAGCUGGGCAGUGCUCCCUGGCAGGUGAUGCUUUUCCGGAAGACCCCUCAGGAACUGCUGUGUGGAGCCAGUCUCAUAAGUGACCGCUGGAUCCUCACCGCUGCCCACUGCCUCUUCUACCCCCCCUGGGACAAGAACUUCACAGUGGAAGACGUGCUAGUGCGCAUUGGAAAACACCAUCGCUCCAAGUAUGAACGUCACAUGGAGAAGAUCGCCAAGUUGGAGAAAAUCCUGAUCCACCCCAAAUACAACUGGAAGGAGAAUUUGGACCGAGACAUCGCCCUGCUGAAACUAAAACAGCCCAUCACCUUCACUGACUACAUCCACCCAGUCUGCCUGCCCUCCAAGGACGUUGUCCAAAAGUUAUUCCUAUCCGGGUACAAAGGGAGAGUCACCGGCUGGGGCAACCUGAAGGAGACGUGGACCUCCUCGAGAGAAAACCUGCCCACCCUUAUGCAGAAAAUCAACCUCCCCAUUGUAGACCAGGCCACUUGCCGGGGCUCUACCAGGAUCAAAAUCACAGACAACAUGUUCUGCGCAGGGUACAAACAAGAUGAUGAGAAGCGAGGGGAUUCUUGUGAAGGAGACAGCGGAGGGCCUUUUGUUAUGAAGAGCCCUUUCGACAAUCGCUGGUACCAAAUGGGAAUCGUGUCCUGGGGUGAAGGCUGCGACCGAGAUGGGAAAUUCGGCUUCUACACUCAUGUCUUCCGUCUAAAGAAGUGGAUACAGAAAACCAUCCAUCGACCUGGACUUUAGGGGCCCACCU
ensembl:lncRNA